UACGAAGGGGGCUAGCGUUGUUCGGAUUUACUGGGCGUAAAGCGCACGUAGGCGGAUCGUUAAGUCGGGGGUGAAAUCCUGGAGCUCAACUCCAGAACUGCCUUCGAUACUGGCGAUCUUGAGUCCGGAAGAGGUGAGUGGAACUCCUAGUGUAGAGGUGGAAUUCGUAGAUAUUAGGAAGAGCACCAGCGGCGAAGGCGGCAUCCUGGACUGGUACUGACGCUCAAGAGCGAAAGCGUGGGGAGCGAUCCGG
rnacentral:rRNA from 1 species